rnacentral:rRNA from 1 species
GACGAACGCUGGCGGCGUGCUUAACACAUGCAAGUCGAACGGCAAGACCCUGAUUUCGUGGGGUGCUCGAGUGGCGAACGGGUGAGUAACACGUGUGUAACCUGAUCUUGACUUUCGGAUAACUUCAGGAAACUGGAGCUAAUAUCGUAUAGGAGCUCCUGCUGCAUGGUGGGGGUUGGAUAGUCUCGGCUGUUGGGGUUGGAUUCGCGGCUUAUCAGCUAGUUAGUUGGGUAGUGGCUUACCAAGGCUUUGACGGGUAGCCGGCAUGUGAGGGGGGACGGCCUCAAGAGGACUACGAUAGGGACCAGACGCGUACAGUAGGCAGAAGUGGGGAAUAUGGCACAAUGAUCGCGAGCCGGAGGCAGAGACCCUGCGUGCGUGAUGACGGCCUGUGGGGUGAAAACAGCUGUCGGUUGUUACGAAGCGGGAGUGACGGUAAUGAGUAAAUAAGCACCGGCUAACUACGUG